GCAAAUAACCGCUGUUUGUUUCCGUUAAGUUCUGGUCUUUCAUUUCUGUUCUUCCACUUCCUUUUCCUUCCUCCCAAUUUCAGUUCUCACAGGAACGCGAUCAAACAAAAAUGAUGGGAAAUUGAAACAGUAACAGAGCAAAAAACAAUCUAAAAAACUUUUUUUUUUAAAUUAAUCAUAAUUUAAUUUGUUAAUGGGGGACGCGUACUGCUCCGACUGCAAGCGGCAGACGGAGGUGGUGUUCGACCAUUCAGCGGGGGACACGGUGUGUUCGGAGUGUGGAUU
rnacentral:misc_RNA from 1 species